rnacentral:lncRNA from 10 species
GCCAGAGAGGGGCCUGGGUGUGGAUCCCAACAGUGGCCACAAGAAGGAGUGCCAGGGUGUAUCCUGGCUUGGGCAGGGGCCCCAGAAGUUAAGAGUAAUCGCUUUGGAGCCAGAAGUGAUGGAUUCAAGCUCCCAGCACUGCCACCAGCUAGCUAGGAAACCUGGCGGGGGCGAGGGGGUGUCCCAUAACUGCUGGCACCUCAAUUUUCUCAGCCGUAAGAUGGGGCCAUGGACGUGUUAAUAACUACCCUUUAUUGAGAACUCCACACUCCAUGUGCGGUGCUGUCAGAGGGAGGCAUCACUCAACCCAGAGCCUAUGCUCCUAAGGACCAGUGGAGACCAGCCUUGGAGGGCAUCUGCAGCCUGAAAGGGACAGCGGAGUCCAGAGCAGGAGGCAGGGUGACAGCCGCUUCUCCCCUCCCCGCUAAGUGACCAUGCAGACAGCACUGUGCCUUCACUUCCUCACCGAGACUCUCUCUCUGUCACCCAGGCUGGAGUGCAGUGCUGCAAUCACAGCUCAUUACAGCCUCAAAUUCCUGUGCUCAAGCAAUCCUCCUGCCUCAGCCUCCUGGGAAGGGGGCAUUACAGGUAUGCACCACCACACCUGGCUAAUUUAUUUUUUUUAAUUUGUAAAGGCAGGGUCUUGCUAUGCUGCCUAGGCUGGUCUUAAACUCCUGGCCUCAAGUGAUCCUCCCACCUCAGCUUCCCCAAGUGCUGAGAUUACAGGCAUGAGUCACAACGCUUGGCCCUACACAUACAUUUUUAGCUGAUUUUUUUCUCUUCAUGUCAUAGAAUAACCAAGUUCACCUUUCAUUAAAUAUCCUCCUACAACAACUUUUUAAUGGCUCUUUCACAUUUCAUUGUAUGGGUCUCUAGAACUGACUUAAAAGAUCCUCAUUGGAUUCUGAUGUGGUUUUCAAUCUAGCCUGUUGUAAAAUCAACAACAAAGACAUUUUGGGCAUUGUGAUGGUCACAUUAUACGUGUAGUCUUCUCAAC